UAUGAGAAGCUCUGAGAGAUCACCUGGCCAUAAUGAAGUGAACAAGUGGGAGAAUGGUGUGAGAAUGAAGUUGGAAAGGUGGGUAGAAAUUAAGUUAUCAAGUAGAGAGAUAUCUGGAGACCCAUAGACAGAAAUAUAUGGUUGAGGCUUGGAGGGAUUUGGGAAAGGUUAUAAUGGAAGGGACUUUGUAGAAGCAGGACGGCCGUGACUUCAGUACAUAUAGGAAGCCACCGUAUUUUCCCUUGGAAGAGAGGAACCCAGAAAGGUGAGUUCACAUGGAAGUCAUAAAUGUCACUAUUUCUGGGCAUCUUCAUAAGUCCUAGGUAGCAGGAAUUGGAGGGAGAGGCUAUCAAAUGGUCGGCCUGUCCAUAAUGUCUAAUGACUAAGCAAUGUGAUAGAGCAUGGUUACCAAGUAAACCAGAGUGAUCAUCGGUCAUUCACAUCCUACUUCAUCAUGUAGCCACUGGUGCAAACUGCUAAUCAAAUGAAAUUCAGUGUCUCUAAUCUCUGAUUGUGUCUACAACAUCCACAGUAUGUUUAAAUUUGAUAGAAGUAUAGAAUGAUAGCUUAUUUCUUUAUUCCUUCUGAAGCCAUCUUCCUCUCAAUUUGAGAUUUUUUUGACAUGGAUAAUGCAGGUCACAGAAAGAACCCUUCUUUUUUCUUUGAAUAGACCAAGUAUAGGAAUGAUAAAUAACAAAUAACUGAAAUUCAACUCAAUCUCGUGCCAAAAAGAAAAUCUGAUGAUAUAAUGUUAUUAACCAUAUGGAAAAUCCACUUUAUUGCUACACUAAUUCUGCUACUAAUAAGAUUAGUGCAGAAAAGACUGAAUGAAGUCACUUCAAUAUUAAUUGGUCUUUCAAAGCUUGAACAGAAAUGGCUAUUUUUAAUUAAUUUAGGAAGACUACAGGCACUGAUUUUUAAAAAUAGUGGCGUGAAAAGAGAAAAAGUAAAUGCUAAGAGGCUUGAGAACAUUAUUAAACUCAUUUAUUAUUCUUUAUAAAUAUAGAGUAAGUUAUAGAAAUCUUACAAAAUCAACAGAAGGAAAGAUAAUAGGCUAUCAUGAAAUAUGCAAUUUAUUUUUUAAAUGGGAAAAGAACUAUUGAAUCAUAAAUGGAAGAACCAUUAGGAAGUUAUGUAAACGUUUCCCCUUUGAGUAAUAUAAAUCCCAUAUCACCCUAAUGUCUAUGCCCUAAUAGUUUUAUUCAUUAUCAUAAAUUUCAGAAGUUUCAUUCUUUCACUACAUAUUUCCAAGGCAUUUUAUUUUCAUUUUAAACAAUUAAACAACUUUAUAGUCUCAUAUCUUCAAAAUACAUUUUGCAGUUUGUUAAAAAUAAAUGGGACUUGCCUAGCAAUUAACAACAUAGAAAAUGGACUAACUUGAUUUUGCUUUACUUCAUUGUUAUCUUUCACCUUUAGGAAUUACAAUUUUUAAGACUGGAAACAGAAAAGGCCAUGGGUAGUCCAAAAUUUCAGACAUCCUGAAUAUUCUUUGAUAUAAUCCUGCCAUAGGGACAUUGCAUUAAAAAUAAACAGGAAAAAUAAUUAUUCCAUCCCCUCCCUAGCUUCACCUCUUACCAAGAGAACAGGCUCAUGACAUAAGAACCAAAUAGGUUCUAGAGUCAGACAUACCUGGAUUCAAAUUCUUGUUCCUCCAUUUAUUAAUACUAUAAUUAUGUGCUUGAAUAAAUAAGUUAUUAACCACUUGUGGGCCUCAGCUUUCCACUCUGGAAAACAGACACAAAGAUAUUCCUCAGGAACCAUAUACAGUGUAUGUGACAGGAUCUAAUAGGAUACUUAGCAGACAUUAGCUGUUCCAUAAAUAUUCAUUUUGCUUUCCUUAAAAGUCAGUUGGCAUACAUUUUCAAAAUCUGGCUGACUGAACCUGUGUCUCACCAAAUACCUUUUCAAAUUCUAGAAAUCUACUUCAGAAGUUUAGGGUCAAAACAGUGGAGUCAUCCUGAAUUAUCUUGGAGAGAAGACAUAAACUUUCAAAGCCUAUUUCCUUGUCAGUAAGAUGAACAGUACCACAGCCUAUUUCGCUAGGUGACAGCAGAAUUUCUCAGUCUCAGAAUUAUAGAUAUUUUGGACGAGAUCGUUUUUUGUUGUAGGGGGUUGUCUUGAUAAUUCUAUGAUAUUUAGCAGCAUGACCAGCCUCUACUCAAUAGAUGGUGUAAGUAGCUCCAUCCCAAGUCAUAACAACCAAAAACAUCUCCAGACAUUGCCCAAUUUAUUCUGGGGAACAAACUAAGCCUCCAUUGAGAACUACUGGAUUCAAAUAAGUAACUUGAAAAUUACUUAACAUAGCACCUAGAACACAGUAAUUUUCAAUAGAUGUUAGUUAUUAGUUUUUACCCAGGUAUAAAAUUCAGGACUGCAUUUCUGAUUAUGUUGUCUCUUCAAUAUUAUACAUAAGCAUCAGUGACAGUAAAGAAACUGCUCAAAGAGGAGCCAGAUCUUUCCAUAAUGACCCCAAAGCCACCAAAAAUAAAAUGAUUAGAUAUAAUUCUUUCUGGGCAAAUAUUCAUUUGGACCUUGGGUAUAAGGCGAUGCUGGCAUCCUGCUCUGCCUGACCUCCUUCUAGGAACCAUCCUGUCUUUCCUAGUUGGUGCCAUGCUGUGUCUCUUAAAGCAAGGUUACAUCAUGCUGCUCAGGAAGCAGGCUGAGCAAUGGGAAUAGCUCAACUCUGCACUGAGUUAUACCAGUUUGGGCCUCAUGCAGGGCUGAUGCAGCUUGUGCAUGGCUACCACUUCUUUCAGUCUCUCCUUUCUUUCAAACAGCCUUCUGCCAAAUCUACCAUGUGACCAGCAUGUGUGCACAUCUUCUGUGUAUGCUUCAAAAGUGUAGGUGUCACAAAUAAAUGAUAGCAAAAUUUAGGAUGGAAUUAGUAGAUUCUUGACUUUCUCUGAAAGUUAGAAAUGUAUUAUAAAAACAAAACUUUAUAUGUAAGUUGAUUGCAUCAGACUCCCCCAUGGGCAUUAGAGGGUGAUAUUAGUAGUGAGCCAUCAGUAAUAUCCCAAAAGAUCCCACUGACUUGCCACACAUAACACUUGUUUCCAUAGACCACAGGACUGCAAACUUCAGCAGCCACUCACUCCCAGUCAAAUCCAGGCCUUCAUCUCUUUUCCAAAUAAAGUGUUAUUGAAACAUAGCUACAUUCAUUUGUUUCAUUCAUCUUUGAGUGUUUCAGGCUACAGUGGCAAUAUUAAGUGGCAGAAACUAUAUGACCCACAAAUCCUAAAAUUUUUACUACCUAGUUGUGGUAAUCUGAUAAUGACUCCCAAAGUCAGUGCUAUGUUCUAAUUUGUGAAUGUUACCUUAUUUGGGAAGAGAGACUUUGCAGGUGUAAUAAAUAAGUCAAGGAUCCUGAGGUCAGAUCCUUCUGGUGUAUCUGGGUGAGCCCUAAAUGACAGCCAAAGUGUCCUUGUAUGAGACAGGUAGAGGGAGAUUAGACACACCCAGAGGAGGAAAAGCUAACGUGAAGAUAAAGGCAAAGAUUGCUGUAAUGUAGCCACAAGCCAAGGAAUGUCAAGACAUGUUGGCAGUCACCAGACUCUGGAAGAGGCAAGGAAGUGCUCUCCCCCACAGCCUGCCGGGUAGGAUCCUGGCCCUUCAGAGCCCAUGCUGGCACCUUGAUAUUGGACUUUUGGCUUCCAGAACUGUGAGAGAAUAAAUUUCUGUUAGAAGCCACCAAGUUCAGGGUAGUUUAUUUAAAGUGGUCCCAGGACAUUAAUACUCUGGCCUUUUACAGAAAAAGUUUUCUGCAACAGGCGAAACCUGUA